AGAGAAGCUUCCGGCCUCGGCGCCGGAUGUGUAGCUGGCGGAAGGAGCCGGCGGCUUUUCGGCGCCCGAAUAGGGUGUACUCAUCGUACAUUUCAUGGGAAUACCUAACGCAGUCAUUUGGAUGGUCCUGUGAGGUAGAAAACAUUGUCCAACGUUCUACGCGAGGAAAUGUGGCUGGGCCACAGGACUGGACUCCCCAGUCCCGCUUUUGCCUGAAGACUUCGAGGGACGCAGUUGGAGCGCAAGGCUCCUGCUUGGCGGUGAGGCAGAGGGCUAACGACCUUCCUUCUCCUAAAUUCACUGAUGCGGCGGCAAGAAUGGCACCGCCUCGUAGAGCUACCGCAUUUCCCAAACUCGUAGUCUCAGGACCACUUUAUACUCAUAAAAAUGAGGGCCCCAAGCUUUUGCUAAUGUGGGUUACAGCUAUCGAUGUUACCACAUUCUAAGUUAAAAUGCUUUAAAGUUUUUUGUUGUUUCGUUUAAAAGUAAACAGCCGGGCGCGGUAGCUCACGCCUGUAAUCCCAGCACUUUGGGAGGCUGAGGCGGGCGUAUCACCUGAGGUCAGGAGUUUGAGACCAGCCUGGCCAACAUGGUGAAACCCUGUCUCUACUAAAAAUACAAAAAUGAGCCAGGUAUGGUGGCGCAGGCCUGUAAUCCCAGCUACUCCGGAGGCUGAGGCAAGAGAAUCAUUUGAACCCAGGAGGCGGAGGUUGCGGUAAGCCAAGAUCGCGCCAUUGCACUCCAGCGUGGACGACAGAGUGAGACUCCAUCUCAAAAAAAAAAAAAAAAAAAAAAGUAAACAUUACAUUCCACGCCCACCACCAAAAUAAAGGAGUGGUAUUGUUUUACACUUUUGCAAAUCUUUUUAAAAUCUGACCUAAUAGGUUCUCACAUGUGCUUCGGCAUUCGGUCUGCUGCAAUAUAUUGCAUUGGUUGACAUACACAUUGUGAAGAACAUCUGCAGUUAUGUAGUUCACAAAGAGAGGACCUGCAGACCCAACUUUGAGAACGGCUGGGCACCUUGCCAGGCCUUGGGAAUUGUAGUGAAAUCAGGCCAGUGACUCAGGAAAAUGAGCUGAAGGCUUUGAGCAUCUCUUUCCUCCAUUUUAGGCCUCAAAAGGGAGGCUGGGGCAGGGCAUGGUGACUCAUGCCUGUAAUCCCAGCAUUCUGGGAGGCCGAGGUGGGCGGAUCGCUUGAGCUUAGGAAUUCCAAACCAGCCUGGCAACAUGGUGAAACCCUGUCUCUACAAAAAAUUAGCAGGGUGUGGUAUCUGUGCCUGUAGCCCCAGCUACUUGUAGGGCUGAGGGGCUGAGGCGGGAGGAUCGCUUGUGCCCGGGAGGUUGAGGCUGCAGUGAGCCGUGAUCAAGCCACUGCACUCUAGCCUGGGUGACAAAGCAAGAUUCUGUCUCAAAAAAAAAAAGUGGGGGAGGCUGGGUGUGGUGGCUCACGCCUGUAAUCCCAGCACUUUGGGAGGCCAAGGCGGUGGAUCAUGAGGUCAGGAGUUUGAGACCAGCCUGGCCAAUAUGGUGAAACCCCAUCUCUACUAAAAAUACAAAAAUUAGCUGGGUGUGUGGUGCACGCCUGCAAUCCCAGCUACUCGGGAGGCUGAGGCAGGAGAAUUACUUGAACCCGGGAGGUAGAGGUUGCAGUGAGCCCAGAUCGUGCCACUGCAUUCCAGCCUGGGCAACAGAGCAAGACUCCGUCUGAAAGAGAAAAAAGGAGGCGGUGGGGGGGGGGUGGUGGGGAAGCUGGGUGGGAGGUGGCUCAGGACCCUCCACAGGGAUGGUUGAGAAAUGGGGGCAGAAACAGCCACUCCUGGAGGUAAGUAGCUCCCAACAGAGAGAGAGGACCUUAGGGCUCACAAAAUUCAGUCCUUCCCACGCCCCCACAAGGCCAGGGAAGCUUAAACAUGACUGCAGUUGAGUUCCUCAGCACCCUGCAAAAAGGAGAGUUGGGGUGAGAUUAAAUAAUAUAUUAAGCAUUAAAAUAUUUCCUUGAAACCUCUAAGGUGCUAGAAAUGUUCUGUAUCUUGAUUUUUUCCCCCAUGGAGGUGUAUUAUAUCCCUGAUACUUUAAAAUUGCCAUUAUAUGGUGAUGAUAAAAAGCAGAUUCAUGCUGGGGAUGGUGGCUCACGCCUGUAAUUACAACACUUUGGGAGGCCCAGGUGAGUGGAUCACUUUGAGUUCAGGAGUUCAAGACCAGCCUGGCCAACAUGGUGAAACCCAUCUCUACAAAAAAUAACAAAAAAAUUAGCUGGGCAUGGUGGUACACACCUGUAGUUCCAGCUACUCAGGAGACUGAGGUUGGAGGAUUGUUUGAGCCCAGGAAGUGGAGGUUGCAGUGAGCUGAGAGCACACCACUGCACUCCAGUCUGGGUGACAGAGCCAGAUGUUGUCUGAAAAAAAGGUUUUUUAAAUCCAAAUUUGGUUUUAUCAUUCUUUUUAAAUUCACAGGCAACAGCACCUGGGCAGACCAUGCCAUUUCCCCUCCUGAACUCGGGUGCUUUGAAAGAAGUAUAGGGGGCCGGUCGCGGUGGCUCCCGCCUGUAAUCCCAGCACUUUGGGAGGCCGAGAUGGCCGGAUCACCUGAGGCUAGAAGUUCAAGACCAGCCUGGCCAACAUGGUGAAACCCCGUCUCUACUAAAAAUACAAAAAUUAGUUGGAUGUGGUGGCGUGUGCCUGUAAUCUCAGCUACUUGGGAGGCUGAAGCUGGAGAACUGCAUCAAUCCAGGAGGUGGGGCUGCAGUGAGCUGAGAUCCUGCCACUGCACUCCAGCCUGGGUGACAGCAAGACUCCGUCUCAAAAAGAAAAAAGAAACAAAUAUGGGGACGAACAGUGGGAAUGCAGAGGAGAGGGUUCCCAUCUGAGGAGGCUGGAAGAAAAGAAGGCUGGAAAAGAACCAUGAGAAACACAUGUCUGUCGUUUAAGCUAUACAGCCUAUGGUAUUUUGUCAUGGCAGUCUGAGCCAAGAGAGGGAGCAAUUUAAUUAGAUGUGUUAUGCUCUUCUAUCUAGGUCCCAUAUAGAUUGCCAACACUGUUAGUGCUUUCUCCUUUUGUGUUAAAAAGGAAAGAUAGAGGAAGGGAGGGAAGAAGGAAGGAUGGAGAAGAGAACAGAAAAGUAAAAUGAAAAUGUCUUCUAACCAUAUUGAAAAGCUAUCCAGGGCCGGGCACGGUGGCUCACGCCUGUAAUCCCAGCACUGUGGGAGGAUGAGGCGGGCGGAUCACAAGGUCAGGAGAUCGAGACCAUCCUGGCCAAUAUGGUGAAACCCUGUCUCUACUAAAAAUACAAAAAUUAGCCGGGCGUGGUGGCAGGCACCUGUAGUCCCAGCUACUUGGGAGGCUGAGGCAGGAGAAUAGCUUGAACCCAGGAGGCAGAGGUUACAGUGAGCUGAGAUUGUGCCACUGCACUCCAACCUGGGCGAUAGAGUGAGACUCCGUCUGGAAAAAAAAGAAAAAGAAAAGUAUCCAGAAACAGGGUGGAAAAGCAUUGGUAAUUGUGGAGUACCAAGUAAUGAGUUCUUACUCUACUCUUGCUAUUUUUAUGUGUGUUCGGAAUUUUCCUUACUAAGAAAGUAUGUGAUACCAUGCGUUGCCACGAUAUGGCAUGGCAUGAUGAGAAGGCACUUCACCUCUGUGGCGUUUCCCCCCAACCCAUAAGCCCUUUCUAAUCAUUAGAAAACAUUAAACAAACCCAAAUUGAGGGACAAUUCACACAGUUCACACAGUUCAUACUGAGACACGGACCAGGAGAAGGAAGGAUCUGGGGGAACGGGAGACUGACCCAGUCUAACCAGGACUUCAAAACUGCCAUGGUCAUGGAAGACAAGGAUAAACUGAAGAAGUGUCACAGAUCAGGGAACCCUAAGGAGACAUGAUGACUCAAUGCAAUGUGGGAUCUUGGAUUGGAUCCUGGAACAGAAACAGACAUUGAUGGGAAAACAGGUAAAAUCCAAAUAAAACCUAAAGUUUAGUUAAUAGUAGUGUACUAAUGUAAGUUGUUUUGUUUGGGCAUGUGCCAGUUAUGUGUAUUCACUUUGGGGGCGGCUGGUGAAGAGCACAUAGGAACUCUGUACUACCUUUACAACAUUUGUGUAAAUCUAAUCCCAAAAUAAAAAGUUCAUUUACAGAAAAAGAA
rnacentral:lncRNA from 10 species